GCCAGGAUAGCUCAGUUGGUAAAGCAUGAGACUCUUAAUCUCGAGGUCGUGGGUUCGAAUCCCAUGUUGGGCA